AACGAACGCUGGCGGCAGGCUUAACACAUGCAAGUCGAACGCCCCGCAAGGGGAGUGGCAGACGGGUGAGUAACGCGUGGGAAUCUACCUAGUUCUACGGAACAACAGUUGGAAACGACUGCUAGUACCGUAUACGCCCUACGGGGGAAAGAUUCAUCGGAAUUAGAUGAGCCCGCGUAAGAUUAGCUAGUUGGUGGGGUAAUGGCCUACCAAGGCGACGAUCUUUAGCUGGUCUGAGAGGAUGAUCAGCCACACUGGGACUGAGACACGGCCCAGACUCCUACGGGAGGCAGCAGUGGGGAAUAUUGGACAAUGGGCGCAAGCCUGAUCCAGCCAUGCCGCGUGAGUGAUGAAGGCCUUAGGGUUGUAAAGCUCUUUCACCGAUGAAGAUAAUGACGGUAGUCGGAGAAGAAGCCCCGGCUAACUUCGUGCCAGCAGCCGCCGCAG
rnacentral:rRNA from 1 species